rnacentral:rRNA from 1 species
UACGGGGGGGGCAAGCGUUGUUCGGAUUUACUGGGCGUAAAGGGCGCGUAGGCGGCGUGGUAAGUCAGCUGUGAAAUCUCCGAGCUUAACUCGGAACGGUCAGCUGAUACUGCUGUGCUAGAGUACAGAAAGGGCAAUCGGAAUUCUUGGUGUAGCGGUGAAAUGCGUAGAUAUCAAGAGGAACACCUGAGGCGAAGGCGGGUUGCUAGGCUGAUACUGACGCUGAGUGCGCGAAAGCUAGGGUAGCAAACGGG